AGUAACCUGCCCUUGACUCUGGGAUAAGCCUGGGAAACUGGGUCUAAUACCGGAUAUGACUCCUCAUCGCAUGGUGGGGGGUGGAAAGCUUUUGUGGUUUUGGAUGGACUCGCGGCCUAUCAGCUUGUUGGUGGGGUAAUGGCCUACCAAGGCGACGACGGGUAGCCGGCCUGAGAGGGUGACCGGCCACACUGGGACUGAGACACGGCCCAGACUCCUACGGGAGGCAGCAGUGGGGAAUAUUGCACAAUGGGCGAAAGCCUGAUGCAGCGACGCCGCGUGAGGGAUGACGGCCUUCGGGUUGUAAACCUCUUUCAGUAGGGAAGAAGCCGUAAGGUGACGGUACCUGCAGAAGAAGCGCCGGCUAACUACGUGCCAGCAGCCGCGGUAAUACGUAGGGCGCAAGCGUUAUCCGGAAUUAUUGGGCGUAAAGAGCUCGUAGGCGGUUUGUCGCGUCUGCUGUGAAAGACCGGGGCUCAACUCCGGUUCUGCAGUGGGUAC
rnacentral:rRNA from 2 species